rnacentral:lncRNA from 1 species
AUGAGCCAUUCGCAGUUUCACUGUACCGGCCGUGCGUACUUAGACAUGCAUGGCUUAAUCUUUGAGACAAGCAUAUGCUACUGGCAGGAUCAACCAGGUAGGCGAGGUAGGCCGCGAGGGCGGCGGACCCGGCGUCCGGGGGCACGAGAGGGAGGGAGGGACGGACCGCGGGCGGAGGAGGGUGCGGGCGGCGCGAACGCCAUCGUCCCCGCCCGUAGCCGGGAGGCGCGGGACCAGGCGGGGUGGGGCGGGGCGGAGGAAGGGCGGAGGGAGAGAGGCGGGCGCGGGAGCGCGGGGAACGAGUCCCACGCGCACACCGCACGCGCCCCAUCACCUCCACCUCCACCACCACCAACCCCACACCCCACCCCCGCCUCUCUCCACAACCGCGUGCGAGUGGAGGGCACAACGCCCGACCCGUUUUGUGCCGGGCAGCCAGGAGGGGGUCGGCGGCCACGCGCGCGGAAGACGCAGUGGGGGGCGGCGAGGGGGCGCGGCGAUACCCACACCCCGCGGGGCGGGGCCCCGGCGUUCGGGCGGCGAGCGGGAGGCGGCCCGGGGUGCCCGACCCGGGGGACAGUCACGCCGUGCGGCCGCAGCGCCCGCGCGCCCGCCCGGUCGAGGUCCGGGUGCCGGCCGAGGCCAGACCCCGGGCCACGCCGGCGGGCGCAGGCGCAGGAGGGGAGGGGGGCCGGUGACCGGCACCGCCCCGACCCACAACGACGGCCAGAAGGCGACGGAAGCCGUCCGGCCGACCCACCGACCCGGAACGAGGGACCGGGACCGGGACCGGAGGUCCCGGCCCGGGCCCCCCCCUCGAACCGGGGGGCGGGCGGCCGGCAGGCCGGAGGUCGACCUUACUUACACACGACGGCUGGCCGGGAGAGACCACCGGGGCGCGCUCGGGCGCACGCACGCGCCGAACGGGACCCGCAACGCGGGGGAAGGACACGCCGCCGCCCCCGGACGUCGACACCCAAGACGCCUCGGGGAGGGGCCCCGGCGGGCCCGGGAAGCGAGGCGCGCACCCGGGGCGCGCGGACGCGGAGCGGGAGAGCGGGUUCGGGAGGAGACGAGACCCCGGGCAAGCCCGAGGCGACCGUGGAAGGCGCGGGGAAGGCGGCGAGCGGGGAGGGGGUGGGCGGCGGGCCACCGCGAGGAUCCGGGGAGAAGCCUCGGGCACAGACGACCGCAGCAGCCGUGGACACACAACGGGGUCUCACCGCCAGCGGCCCGUUUGGGCACACAGGGGCGGUCCCGCGCGGCACACGGAGCGGCCGCCUGGCCUUCGGCGACCCACGCACGCCUCUCGGGGGCCCGCGGCUCCCCCACACCGCCACCGCAGUCGCGGCCAGCGCCCCAUAA